UGAGGGAAAGGCGAAAAGAACCCCGGCGAGGGGAGUGAAAAAGAACCUGAAACCGUGUACGUACAAGCAGUGGGAGCCCCACCACCAAAGCAUUCUCUGGUGUUGAAGGCCCUGCAGAGCAGCAUCGCGGUGGCGGAGCGUCGUUUGCGACGCCCAACACACAAAACAAGCGGUGAGUGCUUUGGGGUGGGGUGACUGCGUACCUUUUGUAUAAUGGGUCAGCGACUUAUAUUCUGUAGCAAGGUUAACCGUAUAGGGGAGCCGCAGG
rnacentral:rRNA from 1 species